ACUAUGGCCAGUGGGGCAGUGGCCGGGUCUUCUUGGUCGACAUAUCGGCGCCACCGAAGCUCAAAAACUGACCAACCAUUUCCUUUUUUUUUCCCUGGGAAGUGACCAACCAUUUCUACACAUAUGACGAUUUGGCAUCUUGAAUGGUUUGAACGGUGGUUGAUAUUAAUUUUUCUUUUCUUUCUAAUAUGUUUUUUUCAUGAAUCCACGUGUCAUCUUCUUUCUUUGUAGUCUUGGUACCCGUGUAGUACCUGUUACUUCUUCAAGUAACCACUACUUAGUUUUAGUAUUCAUCUCCUUUCUCAUUGGUCACUAACUAUUUCUUGAUACCCGUGAAGUACCCCUUAUCGAGGAUGCCCUUAGGCUGGUCAUAGUGGGGAGUAACAUGAGCCAGUAACAUGCAUACGUUACUAGUAUAUGUUAUUACUUCAAUAGUGGGUAGUAACAUAUUUGUGGUAACAUAGAAACCUCAUUUAUUAGUUCUAUAGACUCAUUGUAUUUUAGGAAAUGUGAUGUGAUAGUACCCAGUUACCUCAACCCUCUCUUUCAUCGUUAAUAACAUGACACAUCACCAAAAUUGUUUUAGUUGCCACAUGCGUUACUCUCGCUAGUAUUAAUGCAUCAGGCGCCGUCUUGGUUUCACGUGGCUAGUGGCUACUAUUCACAAGCAACGACAUGCAUCGUCGUCGUGACCUGUUGCGGUGUUGCUAUAAAAAAGUUAUAUUGAUUUUUAGCCAGAGAUCUCGAUCGUAUAAGCUUUACGUGGCGUUACGUGGACAGAGUAUAUUUUCUUUUCCGAAUAUAUAUCACGGCACGUCUCCUAUUUAUUCCGCGAAAGCGUUCCAUCGAUACAUGCAUCAACGUGUAGUGGAGUAAAAUAUUGCACUCUUAGCUAUCUAGCGUGGUCAAAGUUUGGCUCUUCCAUGUGAAACGGAUAAAGAUGGAUGAGACCGGCCUGAUCCUUGCUGGAUCGCCCGGUGCAGAUAUUUGAUCGUGACGGCGAAGGGUCAACUCCCAACCG
rnacentral:lncRNA from 1 species